CUGAGGUGUGGUGGCUCAUUAUGGCCUGACCAUGGGCACCUGGGCUGGGGGUGUUGCUAGGCUCUUCUCCUGCCCCAUUGUGAGGGGUCUUGCAGGGCUUGUGGAAGAAGGGUGCUAUUUUGGAACAGGGGUUGAUAUCCUGUUUUCCUCUUGGUUUACAAAGAAAACUCAGUGUCGAGGGAGCUGAAGACUGGGAUGUGCUGGACUAAUAUAAAUUUAACCAAAGCCAAGAAUGCCCCUGGUUUGGCUCUGAAAAGAGUACUAAGCAGCCAAGGACAUUUGGAUAGCCAAAUCCAACCCAGUGCGGUCCUCUGCUGAGCCUGUUCCCUGUUUCUGUGACAUCAGUGCUGACUCCAGUGAGUAAAUUUGAGAAAGAAGGUUGCAAGAGAGGACAGAGAACUUCACUAGGAAAAACAUUGGAGGAUCAUUGAAAAAAACAACAACAACAAAACUUCUUUGCCUCAAAAGGACACUUUGCUAAGUGGCACACAGGAUUUCAAAGAACUGGCCAAUGCUGUCUGCACAGGAAGCAACACAUACUCCCACUGCAGUGAAGAACUGCAUAGAGGAAAAGCCAUCAUGGGCCACAGGAGAUUUGAUAUUUUGGUGUCCAAGAUUCCACUGGAGUCUUCAGGUGCCACUGCUAGGGAUCUUCUGAAUCAAAUGUUCAGAUUACUACUAUGCUCUUGCUAUCAGAGUUGCCUGUUCACAGUGCCAUAUUGUGCUUGCUAAAAGGUGCUGCUAACCCACCAGCUAGGACCUCUACCACACACUACACCAGACCAAAAGGGAUAAAGAACCUGCUGCCUGUUUUCCCUGAACGAGAAGGGUGGUGUCAAGGGGAGGCCAGAAUUUGUCUCUGGGGACUUGGAUGCUGUUUCUGCUUGAGGACCUCUCUGCCAGGGGACAAGUAUUUUACUCAGCCUUGUACCUCAGUCACUGCCUGUGAGAUGAAGGGAUCUUUAUAUAUCUGUGAGAUAUGUGAUCAGCUGACAGACCCUCUGCCAAUUAUCAGAUGGAUUUAUUUUCUCCACAAAUUGCAUCUUUGCCAUGAGCAGCCUGUGACUUUAGCCCCUGUGCUCUUAGAGUUUCUCAGCUCUGAAGUCUGACAACUAUUCUGAAUGUCCUGAAGUCUAUGCAAUAGAUGUUAUUGAAUAACAGCCAUGAUGGGUUCUGCAGUUGCUCGGAUUACUCUUGUCCCACUCUAAAGUACAGGAACUAGGUUUUCCUGGUCCCAGAAUAUGAAAGAUUCAGGUGCAGGCCUCAAGUCCAGGGUGAUUUGGAUCCAGGAUUGAGCCUUGGCUUUUCCCUUCACAGAUCCCUUCUGCAGCUUUGAAGCACCUCAGCUUGAUUAGGAGUACUGCUGCCCAAGACCAAUCAAUAGUUUCCAAACGUGGGACCAGAAGACACAGAUGCAGGUUGGGAACCGGGACCCAGCAGGUGUCAUCCUGGAAAGAAAGGACAAGAAGAUGGGAUACCAUAGUGUAUCUGAUACCACAAGGAAACAACCUCAAAAGUGCCCAAGAGUGGUAAGAUCUUACAGGAACUGCAUUAUCUCCACUGCUGCCUGAGAUGAACCAGUGCUCCUUCAACAAAGUAGAUUGCAGUAAGAUAGCUAAUGACUUCUGCAGCAUUAAUGCUAACCUAAAGUAAAAUAUUUCAUUAUUACCCAUUACUGCUCAAAAUGCAAGUAUCUGUGAGAUGUGAACUGAAUGACAGAGAGCCAAAAUAGCUUGGUAUUGCAUAAGAGGGAGAAAGAAAGCAUAUCAAAGAUGUAGUUUUGUUUCUAUGUCUGCUUUGUAUUCUGGAGUUAGUAGUAGCCACAGAAACAGUUUACUGUUAUACUUAGGAAGGAAAAUAGUUAUAAAUCAUAGCUCAGUUCAUAAUGUCUACAAAGUGUACCUAAAAGUUAUCACUGUCCUAAAAAAACUUCCACUCUAGAUAACUGUAUUCCACAAAUGGUGCUUCCUAUUUCAGUCUUCAGUUGUAACUGAAAUGGCAGGAAACACCCCCAAGAAAACAUCAUUGUUAUAUCUCUAUGAAUUAUAAGGUGUUUUUAGAAUCCUUUAAGAAGUAAGUGUUAGCUGGCCCAAAAAUACCAGGUGAAAAGAAACACAAGAAGAAUCGUUAAGUUAGACAAGGUAUCUUUUGCAAAAAGCUUUGCUAAACAAUUAUAUGUAUGAAUGCUGAAGUAACAUAGUAUUUUUCAUGUGUGCCAUCUCUACAUUCUUCAUCUUUCUGUUAACUUUUGACUUGCUUCUUUUCCAGAAAAAGAACAGGACUUUGACCUACUCUGCCACAGAGAAAAAAGGAACAAGUUGAGAGUGAAAUGCUAUUUUCUAAAAGAGUGGAAGCAAAAAGUGAAAAGUGGGAAAGGGACAGGGUAUUAAAACACUCGGGGGGAGGGGGAGAGAGAGUAAAAAGGAAUGAAUGAAUGAGAAGAUGAAAAGGGAGAGCAUAGUGAAAGUUCUUAUAGUCAGGUAAAAUGAAGUAGCCUUAAAAAGGAGAAUACGAAAGUGAGUCAGAAAGGUAGUAACAAAGAUAAAGAGAUGGAAAAUAGUCAUAGGCACAAGUGAAAGAGAAAAUAAAAAUAUAUAAAUACAAAAACAGGAGAUGGAAGGAGAUCUAAAGACAGGAAACAGGAAAAUGUGGGAAAGAAACAAGAGACAGUGAUAUUUAAUUAACAUAUGUCGGUAUGUUACUUCAGAGGGAAGUAAACACAGACCAGUCAUGCCAGUUAGGGCUACAGGAUUGGAAAAGAGAAGCAAAGUCUUACUUUCCUCUUUUUUUUCUUUUAAAUAAUGUUCAAGGCUUUCUAGCCUUUUCUUCUGUAAAGGAUAAGCUUAGUGAGUGAGGACUAAGAAGAAAUGUUUAAAACAAGUAAAGCGGAUACUAGGUGCAGACUUUCUCAGCAGGGAUUGCAUCAAGCACAGCAGGGCACAGUAUGGGUGCUGACAUCUCCAAAUCAUUCUGCAGUUCUAACCUUCUUUCCUGGCGGUUGUAGAGUUUAUCCUUAUUAUGGUAUCUUUUACAGAACAAACAGCCAGCCAGGGUUGUCAUGCAUUACACUGCUUUUUAUCGCUGCAGAAGGUUUUAAGCAAUCCUAGUACUUGAUAUUCUGGUGUUGUGGGAAGACCCAUCUCUGCAGUGAUGAGGUGGGUCAGACUAAACCAGGCAACAGGCUGCCAGAUGCAGGCAAGCAGUAUAAAACAGAUACUUUAUCCUCUGUUUUUAAGCUCAUAUUUUCAUGUCAGGGGUCACACAGUAUUGGUGUGGUCACUGCUUCAAAAUAAUUUUGUAAGCAGUUUUAAUGCAUGACAUUUUAAAACAUGAAUUGAAAGCUCUUCAGUGAAUGUGGGUUGGUGAGCAGUACUUUGUGCUGAAGUGAAGUGUGUUACAACUAGGCUAUUGCCCUGGAGUGAUGAGGAGAGGCAGUGGGGCCUGCCAGCAGCAGUUUUUCCUGGUUUAGGAGGAGCAGACAGUCCUCCACAGAGCCACAGAGGUCACACCUGCAGCCUAAGGAAGGACCAAGACAUCGACCUGUUUUUCUGAGUAUUUGCCAUCUUUGACUUCCAAGUGGCAGUGGCCAGGAAAAGGGUAGUUUUUAUAGGUCUAAAUUAAAAGAUCCAUUGAGUUUGAAAGUGUCUUCUAAUUCUGUCCUUUUUUCUUAAAGAAGGCUUGGAAGACUGGGGAUACUAUGUGCCAAUUCCAGGCUAUGGCAGCAAGUGGAAGCAUCAACACCAGUACCACAAAAGUCAGCCCUUAUAACGCCCACGCAGCUUCACUGAGCAUUUCUGUCUGAAAGCAUCUUUGGAGUGGCUUUCUUCUGAGAUACCUGGUACUUGCUGCUUUUGCUUGACCAUCCUAGAAAUUUGGAGAACAUCUUGACUUCAAAGAGUUACAACUGAACCCCCCAUAUAGAACAUCUGAUUCCGGUUCCAGUGAUUUUCUUCAGUGAGAAGACCCUGUCUGCAGAUGGUUGGACUUCUCUUGUGGUGAGAACCUCUCCCGGUACCUGGCUGGCAGGAGCACCAAAAGGCAUGAGCCCUUUCUUGAACUAUCCCACUUUUGCCCUGCAGAAGACAGAACUACCUAGUGUCAGCCCUUCAGGAUGACUGGAACAGCCUACAGGCUCCAGAGGAAUUAAACCCCUGCAUGUUAACUGCUGCUUGAAGAAGAAUCAUUUGGGUCUGUUGAUAACAAAUGAGGAUGUGCUAGCAUGGAAAGUUCUGCUGCCCGAAUGACUUUUGCUUUACACACAGACGUGUUCAGCAAAGUGCUACAAGAGAAGUGCACCUAAAUUUGAUGUGCAGAAUCAUGCAUGACCAUUUUAAUAAUGCUGGAUCCACUGUCAACUGAAGGACACUUGGAUGAAGUACUGGAAAUUAUUUUAGUUUUUUUCAGCAAGAAUCACUAACAGUGAUGAGUAACUUCCUGGCUAUUAAGUGCAUCAGGCAACGGACAUUGUUCCUCAACCUGAUAAACUCCUAGCAGGGAACUUCCCUUCCCUGUGGUUGCUGUUCUGCCCUGGGCUUUUGUCUCUUCAGAUCAGGCAGCUCUGUAUAAUCUAGACAGUCAAACAUUGAGCAAUCAGUACCACCAUGGCUGUGUUUUUAAUGAGAAAAGCAGUUAAAUAAAUGGAAUGUCAUUAAGACACACGACUGUUUUGGAGAUGAUGCCAGCAGUAUAACAGAAAGUUACAUUAAUAUAUUACUUGCUAUACAUUUAUUUUUAAUGCAUAUGAAAUUAUAGAAACAAACCACUUUAACUAGCUGAAGAAAUUGAGACUCUUUGCACACACUAUUUCAAAUCCCAGAAGUAUUUCAGCCUCUUGGAGUUGUCUCUUGAACUGUCAAAGAGGGAUCUGGACAGUCUCUCAGCGUCUCUGACUAUUAAAUCCUUAAGUGACGUAUCUAUAUGCUUAAGAAACAGGGUCAGCAGACAGAAAUGUACCAAUGUUAAAAAAAAAACUAGGAUGGAACAGAUUGGUUUUUAGAAUAUUGCCAUGAAACCCUUUGCCCUCGGCUGACUGAGUUUGUUCCAAGAUUCAAUGUUCACUUUAACAUCACAUGAAACAAAGUGGUGUGGGCAAAUAUUCCUGUCAUGUGCUUCAGCUGUGUUUUUUUCAUGGUGCCUUAUUCUGAAACUGUUUUGCUCAACACAUUCAAAACUCACUCCCAUUUGCUGUACCAUUUCUGCUGCAGCAGUCAAGAUCUAAAGACACUUUAACCAAAUAAGAAGCAAGGGGAAAUGUUAAAGCCUUGCUAACAAAGACAGUACUUCUUUUGCUGUGUUUUUCUUGUCUUGUGCUUGCAGUUACAUUUUCCCAUUUAGAAAGGAUAAAUAAUAUCUGUGUCUCGUGUCAGUCACACUGUAAUUAAUAAACCAGACAAACUUUUGAAUUUCUAGCUGUUAUUCCACCUAAGAAAUACUGCCUGCUUCCCCAGGUGAAAUGAAGGUUAUCCCCUUUUCUUGAAAUCAUCCUUUAGCUGCCAGCAGUUCACAAGACCCCACUUCUGCAAAGGACUGACCACCCACUACCAGACAGAGAACCACUGAAGAAAUGGUAAAGAAGAAAACGGAGGUUUUGGCUUUUAGUAGAGGUCUCAGACCUGUUUUUUUUUUAGAAUUUUAUUUGUUUCUCUAUUCCGAAGAUAGAUAGAAAUUAAUUAGGUUCCACAGUUUUCACAGUAUAACCAGUUAAAUAUUAUUUAGUUGUCUUUCUUACCAAUGUGGAUAAAUGUUUUUUAAAAGGGUAAUGCAGACAAUGGGACAGAAUCUGUUGAGUCAUCACUUUUGUUCUCAGUCAAAGUUCUGUAUUUCUCAGCUUUUCGGCAUCCUAGAUAUAUCCCCCAUGGCGACCACAGUGGUGAUACCAUUAUUGCUGGUUUCACCCAAGAAAUCUAGUGCUUUUCUUUAAGGGGGAACUGAAACUCAAACAAAAACUUCCCAGAUAUCCAAGGACAACUCAAAUGGUUGAAGCUGUUUGCUUGUUUGUGCAGCUGCAAGGAAGACACACUUCAGGGAAAGACAAUCAAAAUUAUAAUACGACAGGUAAUUUAUCACUGUAUUGUAAGUAAAUGCAACAUCAUAACGUGCAAGCAAUACUGUAAAUUAGAUAGUACUGGUUAAAAGAGACUGGCUUAUUAUUUUCAGCAUAGAUAGCUAAAGUUUCCCAGGCAUCUGAUUCCCAUGAGGUGCCAAAUGAAGCAAGGUGUUAAUUCGAUCUCAUAUCCUCUCUGUUUUUCCAGGAAGUUCAAAAUAGCUCUGCAGGGGUGUUUCAGACAGGCACAAUUUUUAUAGUUUGCAAGUGCAUAGGUUCCUUUUGCCUUAUCCAUAACAACAAUUGCUAAAGGAAGAGAGUUGUUUAGAUUUCUUGUAGCCAACAUAUCUUUUGGAAUAUGGUUAGGAUAUCUAGCACUGAAUAAUUUUGCAUAUUGUGAUAUCUACCACUGAAAUAAGAGUGUUAAUAUUAGGAGUGGCAGCCACCACAAUGUAGCCUAAUAUAUUUUUAAAAAACGAUGAAAGAUAAUCCACCAACUUGCAAACUUACAGAACUGUGGGGAUAAAAAAACAUUAAAACUAUCUUUAAUUGUUUCUUGUUUUACACCCAUUGAAGGAACAAUUUAUGCCCUGUCUUUGGAGAAAAUAAAUAAAUAAUUGUAGUAUUGCUAGAAAAAGUCCAUCAGAAUUCUUUGUCUGUGGGAAAAAAUCUUGCAGAAGAUGGUACUUUUGACAGUUCUUCACCAAUUGGGAAACCCCAGGAAAGAACAUACAAAGAAUGUUAAAGCAUUUUCUUCACGUUAAAUUUAAAUUGCAUCAAAUAGUGUGAUUGACGUUCAUUGAAAGGGAGAAGGAUUAAGUACAGCUGACCUUCAAACUAUGUAUCCAACUUUAGACCAUACAUGGCACUGCGGAAGGUAUCUCACAGCUUCCAUUGGUACACAUACCUUGCUAAAGGCAAAAGCCACAGAUGGUUACAGUUGGUGGUGGGUUUUCUUAUCGUAUUCUUUUCUUGAAUGGGAAUUUGGUUAAGAGAUUGAAAAUUAAUCAGUUAGAGGUGAUACCCACCAAUGGGAUUUACAGGUAUACUGAUUCACCAGUCUUCAGUUAGGUGCCAAGGCUGUAUGGGGAGAGUCUGGCAUAUAAAAAUAGGCAUUGCAAAGGCUGACAUAGUGCCUGGAUAGUCACUAAAGCCAGGUAACAGGAAAUGUUGAGCACAAAAUUCCAGAUUUCCCUGGAGUUGCAUUGUAUUUAUACCCCUCACCUGGCUUGGAGUGGCACAUAAGGAGGAAUACCAAGCAAAUAAGUGUGUGAAUGAGAUUUUAAAGUAAGAUUUACUUGGAAGGAGAAUGCUAGGGGUCUAUACCCUGUUUGGCUUAACAUAAGUAGAGAACUUAAUCAGAGCAGUCUGAAAUAUUCAUCUCUCCCCUUCCAGGCAAAUUCCCUAACCUCAAGGCCAAUGGUUUAACAAGAAUUUAAUUACUCUAUUCAAAAUGAAACAGUUUCCACAGAAAUAUUCAGAGGCUCCUCUCAUCCCAGAAUUCCCCAAGGCAUCCUCCAGAAAUAUUUGGAGAAAGAUUUUUUAAGCCAGAAUUCUGUUGGACAAAGGGAGGAAAAGAAAACAGGUUUUUUAAGUCCCAAGGGAAUGAUAUGACUGCUGAGGUGUUGGGUAAAAGCAUGAAACCAAGAACAAAAGCCAGUAGGCAAAGAACAGUUGAAAACUCCAUGAAUCUUCAGUUCUAAAUUUUUUAUGGAAUGCAUGGCAGACUGAAAUAUGGGGACCACAGUCCCAAAGGCUCCUCUGAGACUCAUUGUGGAAUAAAAUUUUGAAUAGAGAUUGUUUUAGCUCUAUUUUUUUCCCUUUUCUGCUUGGUUUUUAGUGUUUUCAAACUAUUUUUGCUUGUUGCUCUUUGUUGUUGAACUCUCAGCCAUCACUUGGUUUUCUUCUCAAAACUUUGUGUUAUUGCAGAUGACCAGUACCAGAUCCCUGGCGGGGAUUUGUCUUAACUGCAUUUUAAAAACUUCUCCUCAAAGAACCUUCACAACCUGCCCAAGAGCUUGCCAGAGUGACAGAGAAACUAGAAAAUACAAACUCUUAGAGGAGUCUAAUUUCCAGAAGACACAUGCUCAAGCCUCCAUAAAAGAUCAGAAACUUCUUUUCAGGUCUCCCUCAACUGGCCAGUGGCUUUACAGAACCAUUAGUUUCCAAAAUCACAUCUAUAAAUGAAGUCUCUACAUCAAAUAACUUGCUAUUAAGUUAAACUGUGUAUACUACAGAUGGAAAAAGAUCCUCGUAUGACCAACAAGGCACAAGCAAGUGGACUGAGUUUUGGAGUUAGCAACCAGUUUAUCAUUACUCUGAUUUCUCUCUACAAUUCCUGGCUCUUGCUGUGGCUUGAUUGCAGAGGUCGGGCAAGUUCCUUCACUCUGGCCUUUUCUGACUCUUAACUGUUCUUUUGUGGUUUGAUGGGAGUGUCACAAAAGUAUAUUUUGAGGAAGAGGCCAAAGAAAAAUUCUCAACAAAAUGGAAACGCAUUAAAAUACUGAGACCUGAGGGGAAGUAAGACACAGGGCACUUUUUUCACUGGGUGCUGAAGAAGCAUAAUGAAAACAAUGGAUCAGUAAUUUUCACAUGGCCUCUGAUGUCAUGGUAAUUGUGUCACUAUUGCUAACCAUUGUUCAACCUUACCACCAGCUAUUCUCUGACAGCAGAGAAGGCCGCAGCACACCAGGGCAGGGGAAGGUUAGAAGAUGUACACAGAGUUCCCUCUAGUCCAGCAUGGAUGCAUGUCCUGGCCACAGAGGACAGGGAAGUACCACAAGAAUCAGUUAACCACUCAUUUUUGGUGAAAACAAGAAUUUCUGGGACCAUGAUGUUCUCCUGGGACUGGAAAGCAGCAGCAGAUCCAGGAUUAUGAAUAGAGAAAAUGGACAGAGAAACAGCUGCUUUAUAAAUGUAAUGAAUGUAAAAUCAGUAACUUACACAAAGUAACUUGGCAAAAAGGAAGCCUGGACAAAGCUGGAAAGUGACCAAGACAUGUCACAAAUCACAGGAGCGUGAAAAGAGAGAAGCAAUCCCGCAGGCUGCAGUGAGUUCUACCAAGCCCUACAUCAAAUAAAAGAUCUGUAUCUAAUGCUGAAGUUGAAAAGAUGUCUGCAAAUGGAUUUCUAGAGUAGCUGGGCAAGAUUUGAAUAAUGAACAAGGGGAAGAUCAUUGAGUAUCAUUUUAGGUGUCCAAGUGGUCCCUCUGUUGUUAAGCACAUUCUCACACUUCUGUGUCACAAUGCAAGGGUCUAGUGUUUUUACAUGAGCCUUUUUCACCCUGGGUAGUUUUUUUUUUUUUCAGAGCUCAAAAAUAUCAGGCAAGUUGCGUCAUGUAUUGUUGUUUCUCUUAUAGCCAUUGAAGCAAGGUCCUGUAAAUGGGUACCAAGCCAAAGUUUCAGUAGCUUUACAAUUUAUUUUUUUAACAUUGUUAUGUGGCAUCUUCUUGUAAAUGUAAAGUGCUACAGAUUGUUGUCCAGCUGGAAAGUCACUCUUCUCAGCCAAAAUAAAAUAGUUAAGUUACUCA